CCGCGGUACCCUGACCGUGCAAAGGUAGCAUAAUCACUUGUUCUCUAAAUAAGGACUUGUAUGAAUGGCCACACGAGGGUUUAACUGUCUCUUACUUMUAAUCAGUGAAAUUGACCUAUCCGUGAAGAGGCGGAUAUAACCAAAUAAGACGAGAAGACCCUAUGGAGCUUCAAUUUAAUAAUGCAAACUAAUAACUUAAAAACCAACAGGCACCAAUCCACCGUGUAUGUAUUAUAAACUUUGGUUGGGGUGACCUCGGAGCAUAACAUAACCUCCGAAAGACAUAUACCAAGACUUAACCAGUCUAAGUAAACUUAUAACCAUUGACCCAAUAACUUGAUCAACGGAMUAAGUUACCCUAGGGAUAACAGCGCAAUCCUACUCUAGAGUCCAUAUCGACAGUAGGGUUUACGACCUCGAUGUUGGAUCAAGACAUCYUAAUGGUGCAG
rnacentral:rRNA from 1 species